rnacentral:lncRNA from 1 species
ACCACCACCCCCUCUGAACCCCCAUUUCGUCUCUCUCAACUCUUCAUCUCUCAGAGACAAAAGGAAACCCUAAGUUGCCACAAAAAACUCCAUGCUCUUUCCGAUGGCGGCGCCACCACCAAACUACCCCAAAUCAACACCCCAAACUCCCCUUCCUCCCUUCAUAUAUAAUUCGUCGUUGUUUCCCUUCGAAUCUUAAAUCCAAGUUCGACCUUUAAAAGUUUAAAAAACAUUUUUCAUCGAACCUGGUAGCAUGCAUGCUCAUAGGGUGUUGUUCUUUCGAGCUUUGAAGUUUGGAUUCAAAAAAAUUGAUGUCGUUCAGUUGUUCUUGACAAAUAACAAAGGAUCAACAUUAGUUUUGUUAGGUCAUUUGUCUCAAGUAGGUUUCGAGUCCUGAUUUGGUAAGUUCCCCCCCCCCCCCCCCCCCCUUUUUUUUUUUUUUUUUUUUUUUUUUUUUUUUUUUUUGUUUUUUUUUUUUUUUUUUUUUUUUUUUUUUUUUUUUUUUNNNNNNNNNNNNNNNNNNNNNNNNNNNNNNNNNNNNNNNNNNNNNNNNNNNNNNNNNNNNNNNNNNNNNNNNNNNNNNNNNNNNNNNNNNNNNNNNNNNNNNNNNNNNNNNNNNNNNNNNNNNNNNNNNNNNNNNNNNNNNNNNNNNNNNNNNNNNNNNNNNNNNNNNNNNNNNNNNNNNNNNNNNNNNNNNNNNNNNNNNNNNNNNNNNNNNNNNNNNNNNNNNNNNNNNNNNNNNNNNNNNNNNNNNNNNNNNNNNNNNNNNNNNNNNNNNNNNNNNNNNNNNNNNNNNNNNNNNNNNNNNNNNNNNNNNNNNNNNNNNNNNNNNNNNNNNNNNNNNNNNNNNNNNNNNNNNNNNNNNNNNNNNNNNNNGGUUUGUUCAUUCCUUUACUAUUUUAUUUCUUUAUUCUCCUUCGAUUUUACAUUGGUUUAGUUUUCUUCUACUAGCUUAUUUGAAAGUAGACCAAUCCUCCGGGUUUAAAUUGUCUUCUGUUCGUUGUUUUUUUUCUUUUUCCUUUGUAAAGGCUUGUUCAAUGUUUUCCUUAAUUGUGCUAUUAGCCUAUUUAAAGUUCUGAUAUCAUAUCUCGUUUAGUCACCUAGUUAAUUUAAUUAAGGUUAUUUUGAUAACUUGGUUAAUUUACUGCUUACUUGUGUGUAGUAAUCAGUCGAUUAGUGUAGGUUUUAAUUCUCAAAAUCAUUCAAGUGAUUGCCCUUUGUUUGUUGACUGAUAUGAUUCAAUUUCUUUUGUUGUUUGGACUUUGAAGCCAUUGCAUACCACACCCCAAUGGGGUUAGUUUAGGUCAUUGGGUCAGAAUUGAGCCCACAGUUGGUUUAACUAUGGGGGCAUUUUGAACCAUUUGGUUUCCUAGAGUAAAAAACAUGGUUUAAAGGGUUGAUUUAGGAACUCUAGGUGGGGAAAUCUCAGUAAGUGAUUGAGUAAGAUUCCUAGAAGUUUGGGUGGGGACCUAACUGAAAAUCGGAAUUUUACACCAAGGUUUCUAAUUAAAAAUGAAAAUAAAAAAAUGUCCUAAAGGCAAAACAUAGUUCAUCUCUGCAGACUUAAUACUUUGCCUAUAAAGGCAUCGUUUCUUUGCCAACAAGGGAAAUUUUGGCAGAUAAAAAUACUAAAAAAUUAAGCAGCUAGAGUUUUUGGGAGGAAAAGUCUGAAAAAAUAUUGAGCGAAAGAAGAAAGAACUUCAAAAUUCUUGUGUUUUUAGUGAACAAUUUGUCUAGUUUUGAGUUAGUCUCUUCAUUCUGAAACCAAAAAGGAUUUUCUUAGCUUAUUCUGGAAUGGAAGCUAGUUUAAGGGAUGUUGUGUCACUGUUCUAUUGAUGAAAUUCUGAAGUGCUUCCGUUGUUUGCUUCUUCUUUGUUGAACUACUACUACUGUUGUCAAAUAACUGCAAGAUCAUUGUAUUUAGUUUGGGACCAUUAUGAUACUUGGGAAAUAUUUUAGUUGGUUGAAUCGGUAGUUUUAGACUCUACAUUCCAUCGCUUAAAUAAUGUAAUUGGGUAGAUAAAUGUUUCUUUUAAGAUUCGUGUGUAUAAAAUCGUGUUGAGAGAAAAUGAAAAGGAAAUGGUCUAGUUUGCUUCAAUGGGUAAAAACAUGCAUUGAUUAGCAUGUGAAUGUCUUUAAACUUAGAAAUGGCUGUCAGUUCAAUUCUAGUUAGUGAUUGAAUAACUAGUAAUUGUCAGUUUAAUUUUGCUUCUAUUCAGUGUCAAUCUUACAGGAACUACUAAUAUGGGACUCAUUUGAUGUUUAAAUUCUCAUGUCAUUACUUCAAGUUAGCUUGAAACCUUAAUAUUUAAAGUUAUAUAUUAUCCAGCUAUCAAAUUGGAAUUUUCAAUUAUUUUCGAAAUUAUGUCAUUAUUAAAAUCUCAUGAAAUUGUCCAUUACGUAGUUAAAAGCUAUUUUGAAAAUCGUCUGCAUAUACAUUUGUGUUUUGGUGAUAGUAAUUCAGGUUCACAUCGGCACCCAUUGAUUUUUCAGAUGCAGCUUGGCUUUUAAGGAUUCGAAGUCGAGUCCUCACUUGCUAAUCUCAGGCUCCUGAAAGUUUUGGGCUCAUCUUGGACUUAAGUCUGAAAAGACUUGCAAAAUCGAAACUACGCACUUUGUAUCAUUUAGGUUUGUUUUGCUCUGUUGGCUCGGUUCUCUCGUUUGUUUGGGUUGUUGACGAAGUAAUGUCUCUUUAGGUAAUUGUUUGUUUAAUAAGACGCUCAUGGGUAGCUGAUUUAGUUCGAACUUUUAGCAUAUAGGUAUUUUGAAUGCCUUUAGGUUUCUCCUUAAUUAACUAGAUUUUUUAAAAUGAGUUGAGGUGUGCCAUAUUAGCCAAAUGUAUAAUUUGUGGCCCUUAUGAGCUUAUUUAGAAACCUUGUUUGUUAGAAAAAUCAAGGCGCGCCAUGCCAAGUAAAAGAUUCAAAAUGCACGGCCCUCAUUUAAUUGAUCUUGAACCUUUGGAAAUCGAGGUGUGCCAUUAGCUUAAUUUUCAUGGCCCUCGCAACCAAGCGGGGGAUAAUAUCAUUCAAGCAUAGCUUCAGGCAAGGGAAUGGAGUGGCACACGUUUUGGCAAAUGCAGCACUAAGAAAUAACUCUUUUGAUAAGCUAUACAGUUUUGGUACACCUCCUGAUUUUGAUAGGGCCGUCUAUGAGAAUGAUAUGGAGGACUAUGUUUAUGUUAGAACUAGUUGUAUUAAAUAAUGUGAAGAUUUAGCUGCACUAGGAAAUAUGAGUGCCAUAUGUAGCCUAAUGAUAGAUUCUAAUGAUGCAUGUAUGACAAACAUCCAUAGGGGAAACCAUCUCUCUCUACUUAACUUAAUAUGUAUACAUAUAUAAAAUAUGUUUUCUGUUUCAAAAAUAAAAAUGUGCUACUUAUCCCUCUCUAUGUAACUUAAUAUGUGUUUAUAUAUAUAUAUAUAUAUAAUAUGAUUUCUGUUUCAAAAAUAAAAAGGUGCUACUUCACAAUGCCUUAAAAGAAAAUCUUAAAUUAUAUUUAAUCAGAGAGCCAUAUUUACACAAAACCAUCCGAACCCUAAAAAAAAGGAGUGCAUUUAUUGUUGGUUGAUGAAGUUGCUGGACAGAAGUAAAUUUUUUUAAUUUUUGAGACGCAAAACUGGAACUAAUAGUACAGACGUGAAAUACCAUCAAAUAUGCAUAUGAAGUUUAAAUAGCAAGAGUAAUAGAGACGUAGCAGAAGAAAAACAUUUAAUAUCACAUUUUAAGGUAGCCUGCAAUAUCAGAAAACAUUUAAUACUAGCAUGUAGUUUCUUUAGUUGUUUCUGUAGAAAAGAAUUUGUUCUUUAAUUGCAAAUAACCAUCGGGAAGAUUUCACUUUUGUUUUGGGAUGUCAAACCAAGACUUGUCUAUUUUUCUCCCCCUCCACUAAUUAAUUUUCUUUGCUUCAUUUAACGUGUUCUUUGCAUCAUCAUUUCAGGUUCAAUAUCACGUUUUAAGGUACAUACAAAACUGGUAGCCUGCACAAUCAGAAAAUUCAUCCAGUGCAUUAAAGGCUUAGCUCUUCUUGGCAGCUAGCUUUUCUGGAUCUUUGAAAAGAAUGGAUUUCUGUAGAAAAGAAUUUGUUCUUUAAUUGCAAAUAACCAUCGAGAAUAUUUCACUUUUGUUUUGGGAUGUCAAACAAAGACUUGUCUAUUUUUCUCCCUCUUCACUAAUUAAUUUUCUUAGCUUUAUUUAACGUGUUUUUGCAUCAUCAUUUCAGGUUCAAUAUCACAUUUUAAGGUACAUACAAAAUUGGUAGCCUGCACUAUCAGAAAAUUCAUCCAGUGCAUUAAAGGCUUAGCUCUUCUUGGCAGCUAGCUUUUCUGGAUAUUCAAAACCCCUUCCACCAACACACCACCAUAACCAUCAGCGCCGUUUCCUGACCUCUUGUAUUCAGUAGGCCUCAAGUGAGGAAUUCUUUUUCCACUACGUACCCCUCUUCUUGGAUUUGGUAGCAUAUAUAUAGCUGUAAGUAAUUAGUCGUUGCACCAUUUGUUAUUCUUUCUUUGUUUUGUGGUUUGUAAGUGUUCACAUUUGCUUAUAAUCUUUGAUAUCGCAAUUCUUAGACUGUAAUAGGAGGUUUAGCUUUUUGGUUUUGACUGUUUAAGAGUUUAAUACUAACAUGUAGUUUCUUUAGUUGUUUUUGUAGAAAAGAAUUAGUUUGAUAAUUGCAAAUAACCACCGGGAAGAUUUCACUUUUGUUUUGGGAUGUCAAACAAACACUUGCCUAUUUUUCUCCCCUCCACUAACUAAUUUUCUUAGCUUCAACUGUACGUACUUGUUGAAGCCAUUUAAUUCUUUGCAUCAUCAUUUCAGGUUCUUUUUAUUAGUGUCCUACAUUAACAUUGUUCUCGCCAGUCUUUUCAGAUUGGGUUGAUCUGCUGAUUUGAUCAGGUAGCUAUUUAUAAAUUUGAGUUUGCAUUGCUAUCUAGUAAGAUUUGAAAAAUUCUAGUAGUAAUGAAUACUAAAGAAUUCCAUUAUGUCAUUCAGGUUAAGAUGUUGCGCCGCACAAUCAGUUGUCCAAUAGCCUAUUCCCAGAGGUAUAUUACUGCUCUCAAAACUUGAUGCUUAGUGAAAUAAUUAGAAGUAGAGUUGUAACAACAAAGGAGCUUUAGUGUUUCCAUAGACUUAAUUCCUUGGAUAAUUAUAGUUAUCAAAAUUAUAUAUUUAAUAAAGUUACCGUCCAUGAGAAGGAUAUGGAGGACUAUGUUUAUGUAUGAACUAGUAGUGUUAAACAAUGUGAAGAUCUAGCUGCACUAGGAAAUAUGAGUGUCAUAUGUAGCCUAAUGAUAGAUUCUAAUGAUGCAUGUAUGUCAAACAUCCAUAGGGGGAAACCAUCCCUCUCUAUUUAACUUUAUAUAUAUAUAUAUAUAUAUAAAAUAUGCUUUCUGUUUCAAAAAUAAAAAGGUGCUACUUCACAAUGCCUUAAAAGAAAAUCUUAAAAUAUAUUUAAUCAGAGACUCAUAUUUACACAAAACCAUCCGAACCCUAAAAAAAAGGAGUGCAUUUAUUGUUGGUUGGGAUGUCAAACAAAGACUUGUCUAUUUUUCUCCCCCUCCACUAAUUAAUUUUCUUAGCUUCAUUUAACGUAUUCUUUGCAUCAUCAUUUCAGGUUCAAUAUGACAUUUUAAGGUACAUACAAAAUUGGUAGCCUGCACUAUCAGAAAAUUCAUCCAGUGCAUUAAAGGCUUAGCUCUUCUUGGCAGGUAGCUUUUCUGGAUAUUCAAAAACUCUUCCACCAACACACCACCAUAAUCAUCAGCACCGUUUCCUGACCUCAUGUAUUCAGUAGGCCUCAAGUGAGGAAUUCUUUUUCCACUACGUACCCCUCUUCUUGGAUUUGGUAGCAUAUAUAUAUAUAUAUAUAUAUAGCUGUAAGUAAUUAGUCGUUGCACCAUUUUUUAUUCUUUCUUUGUUUUGUGGUUUGUAAGUAUUCACAUUUUGCUUAUAAUCUUUGAUAUCGCAAUUCUUAGACUGCAAUAGGAGGUUUAGCUUUUUGGUUUUGACUGUUUAAGAGUUUAAUACUAGCAUGUAGUUUCUUUAGUUGUUUCAGUAGAAAAGAAUUAGUUUGAUAAUUGCAAAUAACCACCGGGAAGAUUUCACUUUUGUUUUGGGAUGUCAAACAAACACUUGCCUAUUUUUCUCCCCCUCCACUAACUAAUUUUCUUAGCUUCAACUGUACGUACUUGUUGAAGCCAUUUAAUUCUUUGCAUCAUCAUUUCAGGUUCUUUUUAUUAGUGUCCUACAUUAACAUUGUUCUCGCCAGUCUUUUCAGAUUGGGUUGAUCUGCUGAUUUGAUCAGGUAGCUAUUUAUAAAUUUGAGUUUGCAUUGCUAUCUAGUAAGAUUUGAAAAAUUCUAGUAGUAAUGAAUACUAAAGAAUUCCAUUAUGUCAUUCAGGUUAAGAUGUUGCGCCGCACAAUCAGUUGUCCAAUAGCCUAUUCCCAGAGGUAUAUUACUGCUCUCAAAACUUGAUGCUUAGUGAAAUAAUUAGAAGUAGAGUUGUAACAACAAAGGAGCUUUAGUGUUUCCAUAGAGUUAAUUCCUUGGAUAAUUAUAGUUAUCAAAAUUAUAUAUUUUAUAUAGUUACUAGGUAUUCCUUGUAAAGCAUUGGCCGGUAAGGAUACCGACGUUUGCGGUCACUAUUGCGGUCGAUCUGAUAGAGAUGUAAUCUGAUCCCAACAAUAUCAAAUUAUUAAUAUAAACAACUCAACACCAAUAUUUACGAAAUAUCAACAAAAAAGAAGAUGAAACGUAUAAAACAUUAAAGAAUCACUAAUACAACUGAUAAAAUCCAAUACCUCGAAAUCCCAAAAAAUAUGAAGUAAAUGAACAAACUACGAUGUAUCACAAAAUUAAAAGCAAUAAAAGAGUUAAAUAAACAAAGUCACAACAACAACAACAACAACAACAACCCAAUGUAGUCCUACAAGUGGAGUCUGGGGACGGUUGGAUGUAUGCAACCUUACCCUACCCUGGAAGGAAAGAGAGACUUUUUUCGAUAGCUCAAAAAAAUCAAAUAGCAAGUGAUGACAACUCAUAAAUAAAAACACGGUUAUAAAAAAACAAUUAACAAGUAAGGCAUGCAACAGAUAAAGGCAUGAUUCGACAAGUAAUCGCGAUUAAAAUUUUUAAGCAUAUAAGAGUAUAUUUCACAAUAAAGGUAGAACAUGUACUAACAACUUCAAUUUAAUGCAUGAAAUAAGACUAAGAGUCUGAACCGAACAAAUACCACAUAUAAGCCCGUGUACACACCCAUCACCUCGUGUACUCGCCUUUCUCGCAAUUCAAAUAGUACAAUCAACCCAAAUCUUAAGGGGUGGUUUCCCCUACACAAAGUUAAGCAAGAUACUUACCUCAAUUACGCUAAUUCGAAACCCAAAAUAGCGUUUUCUUUAAAAGUUACAUCCGCCUCGUUUAAAUCUAGCAAAAACUAACUUAAUAAUAUCAAAAAAUACAAGGGAACCAAUUCCAAUUAAUAGAGCUAUAAUCUUUAUAUAUUUUUUCAAAAGUCAAAAUUAGGCUCACCCGGUAAAAACCCGAGUCGAAGGGUAGCCAUAGCCCUGCGAGUUCAUAUAUAUGGUUUGUUUUCAAUUCCGAGUCAAAUUUCUCUUAAAUCUUAAAUUUUUAUUUUUCAGAUCAUAAUAAAAAAUCCCUAAAUUUUCCCUUCAAAACCCAUGAAUUUGACGUUAAAUCUCAUAAAUAAUCAUGUAAUAUAAUUAAAAAUGGAUUAAAGUGACUUAUCGAAUAGUUUGGUAUGAAAAUCUCUCAACAAAUUGAAAUCGCCUCCCGCCAAGUCUGGGAUUCCAAAUAUGAUAAGAUGAAGGUAAGUCCUGAAAUACUCAGCGAUUAACAAACUGCACAAGUGACAUGCGCAAUUGCGGAAAAAGGAUCACAAAAGCGAAACCUAGCCAGACCUACUAAUGUCGCAUUUGUUACAAUAAACUUUGCCAUUGCGAAGGUGUUUCCCCGUAGAGGCUCAUUGCAAAAGCGACUCUAGUGCCCCAAAAGCUAGCUCCAGUGUAUAUAAUUGUGAUACAAUCCCCGUAAAUGCGAGGUCCCUUCCCCAGCAGUCCUGAUUCACAACUGCGAGAUGAAACCACCACCCUCACACAAAAUUCUAACAAAAUACAUAUAAAACUCACCUGACCCCUGGGGGAUCCACAUCAAACAUUCACACAAGUCUAAAAAUAUUAUACGAACUCGAUCACACGAUCGAAAUACUAAAAUAGCAUCCACAAGAACUCUAUCACACGAUCGAAAUACUAAAAUAGCAUCCAGAACCAUCGAUCGGACACCAAAAUGCAUGAAAAUCACUAUGUGCUUUAAGAACUUCUUGAAUUGAAACCAAGCGUCCAAAUAAUAUCACACCAAUUUUAAAUGAUUCCAAAUUUUGCAGACGAGUUCUAAAUAGAAAAACGGAUCUAAUCCAUGUCCCAACACUAAAAACUGAACCCGAUAACCUUAAAGUUAAACCAUGGUCAAACUUAGGUAAAUUUUGAAUAUUUAAAUUGUCAACUUUCGGCAUAACAAGUCAAAUCAGUCUAGGGAUCUCUAAAUUAAAUUUCGAAAAUAUUGUCGAAGUUCAAAAUAACCGUACGAACCCAACUAAAACAUCAAAACUCUGAUCCGAGAUUAAAUAAGUAGAAACUUAAACUUUUUUGCACUUUUAAUUUUUUUGUAUAUAUAUUAUGGAGGUGUACAUUGUGUACUUGUUUAUGUUUUUUGUUCAAUCUUACUCUGUCAUAUUUCUUGUUACAUGAUUGAUUUGAAAAGAUUACGAUGAACUAAUUAAGAUUUCCAUCAUUUAGAGAAUUAAAUAUGUUGCAGCGAGGAAGGAGUUGUCCGCCAUCCUUUUCUGAGAGGUAAAUUCUAAAAAUUAACAGUCUCCUCUAUUUAAACAUACGUUUUUCCUCGAAUGUUCCAGGAGUCGUUCCAAAGCUAUCAAAUCACUGCAUAGGCUUUAUCUUAAGGAUACAAUGUCUUGAAGUUUUGAACCGAGAAAAACUGAACUUUGGGAUACAAGACAUUGUAUCCUUAGGUUCAAGCUUAUGCAGUGACUUGAUAGCUUUGGAACGACUCCAGGAACAUUCGAGGAAAAACGUAUGUUUAAAUAGAGGAGACUGUAACGAACCAACUAGUCAUUUUAAGCAUUUGCAAUUUGUCCGGCGGUUUGAGGUCGCGAAUAGCUUCACAUGGUGUAUUUUUUGAAUAUCGAGUGGUUCGGGAUUGAUUUGGGUGAAUGUUUCUCAUUUUUGAAGGUUUAAGUUGGAAGAUCGAGUGGUUCGGGAUUGAUUUAGGUGAAUGUUUCUCAUUUUUGAAGGUUUAAGUUGGAAGGGUAGACCAAGUUUAACUUUCUACUUAUUUAAUCUCGGAUCAGAGUUUUGAUGUUUUAGUUGGGUUCGUACGGUUAUUUUGAACUUCGACAAUAUUUUCGGAAUUUAAUUCAGGGAUCCCAAAACUGGAACUAAUAGUACAGACUUGAAAUACCAAAACAAAAGUGAAAUCUUCCCGGUGGUUAUUUGCAAUUAUCGAACUAAUUCUUUU